AGCCUGCCCAGUGACAUAGUUUAACGGCCGCGGUACCCUAACCGUGCAAAGGUAGCAUAAUCACUUGUUCUUUAAAUAGGGACUCGUAUCAACGGCAUCACGAGGACUGUACUGUCUCCUUUCUCCAAUCAGUGAAACUGAUCUCCCCGUGAAGAAGCGGGGAUUAACUUAUAAGACGAGAAGACCCCAUGGAGCUUUAAACCCAAUACACACCUCUACGCACUCAAAUCAACAUAGCCCAAGAAACUUGUGUGCUGGUUUUAGGUUGGGGGGACCGCGGAGUAAAAUCAAACCUCCACGACAAACGGACUAAUACCCUUAUCCACGAACUACAAUUCUAAGAGCCAAUAAAUUGUUGUCUAAUGAUCCAAUUACUUGAUCAACGAACCAAGUUACCCUGGGGAUAACAGCGCAAUCUACUUCGAGAGCCCCUAUCGACAAGUAGGUUUACGACCUCGAUGUUGGAUCAGGGUAUCCUAGUGGUGCAGCCGCUACUAAAGGUUCGUUUGUUCAACGAUUAAAACCCUACGUGAUCUG
rnacentral:rRNA from 1 species